rnacentral:rRNA from 1 species
AUACGUAGGUGGCGAGCGUUGUCCGGAAUUACUGGGUGUAAAGGGCGUGUAGGCGGGGAUGCAAGUCAGAUGUGAAAUACUAAGGCUUAACCUUGGGGCUGCAUCUGAAACUGUGCUUCUUGAGUGUCGGAGAGGAAAGCGGAAUUCCCAGUGUAGCGGUGAAAUGCGUAGAGAUUGGGAGGAACACCAGUGGCGAAGGCGGCUUUCUGGACGACAACUGACGCUGAGGCGCGAAAGCGUGGGGAGCAAACAGGAUUAGAUACCCUGGUAGUCCACGCCGUAAACGAUGGAUACUAGGUGUAGGAGGUAUCGACCCCUUCUGUGCCGGAGUUAACACAAUAAGUAUCCCACCUGGGGAGUACGGCCGCAAGGUUGAA